GUAAACAAAUCAUAGCUCACGAAUUAAUAUUUCUAUGACGUUCAUAAACUUAAAGAAAACUCCAUAAAUGUAACUGAUGAACAUAUCACAUGAACAAUUUAUAACCAAAACUAUGGAUAACACUUUUAAUUUUAUUUUAAUUUUACUAUUCUCAACGUUAUUGUUUAUGUCAUCAGAAGCGGCAGGUCCAGCAGACGCAGUCAACGAUGCAGCUGGUGCAGCAGUGAAAGGGGUCACUGGAAUAUGUUUUCCUCCUAUUAUCUGUAAUAUAGCAAAGGGUGUUAUAGGAGGUAAGACGAAAUAAAGAAACCGUUUCCUGUGAUGAAUGUCUACGAAUUUCAUUUAAAACAAACAUAUUUAUGUACUGUUUAUUAUCAAUUUCAAAACCUUAAACAAAAAUCGAUGUGAGGAACUUAUUAUAUAUUUCCUUAAAUAUCUUUAAAAUAUCUGUUACUUGUACAAUGUAGCAUUUUUUUAAAUAUUUUAAUACUAAGGAGCCAAAUGAUUUGGCAAAAUCAGUUUAGUUUUAGACUACAGAAAGUCAUAGUAGAAUUAACUUACAAACAAAGUAACAUAUCCCCAAAAACAAUUCGCUCUCCGCUUCGGACAAUUAGAAAAGU